AGUUGGAAGGCGGGCUUCUUCGCUGCCUCACCGUCUUUAGUUCUUCCUUCCUCCCUCAUCCUCGUUACCCUCCCAAGACCAAACCUCUCGCUACUUCCCUCUCUUCUUUGACGCCCCUUCCUCGCUUCGACUUAACGCUCUCCUCACAUGCCGCUUCCCUGAAGUCGGCCAGCGGCGCCCACGCGGCGAAGCAUCCGCCGCCUGCAACGAAGAGGAAGAAUUCCGGGAAGACGAGGGCUCCGGAGAAGCCACCCGCCGAAUGCGAUGGAUCGGCGUAGCCAUCCUUCCCCGCUGCCGAAGCCGCCCGCUGGAUUCUUGCUCGACCAGCACGGGAGGGUCCUCCUGGCCGCCUCGAAGCGGAUCGCCACCAUCGUAAGCAAAUUUUGAACGGUUUUCUUUCCUUCAUGGCGUCUGUUUGUUUGUCCGAUCGGCGCGGACUUUAUCUGGACAUUGUUGUGGACUCGAAUCUUGAUAUGGCUAUUAGGUUAUAGAUUUAUGCUUCCGUGAUGGCCAAAAUUCGUUCUUGAAUUAGAUUAACAGUGAGCCCAAGCAGUGGCGGGAAACCUAAUUGGAUAGAUUUUGCAAAUCUUCGUUUCAGCGAGCUCAAACUAGGGUUUGUACGUCGUAGGGUAACUGUUGAUGCUUACACUGUGUCCUGUACCUUCCUUCUACUCUACAGCGAUUAUUGCACUGAAAAGCAUGACUUUGAUUCCUUUUCAUGACCAGAUAAAGAGGUACUUAUUUUCCUGUGACAUAUUUGCUGGUUGAUGCUUCCAAUAAUCUGCCCUUAGAAUGUGUAAUUAGGAGAGUGUUCCAAAGUUCUAAAGGGGAUGAAUGCAUGCUGCUCUGCCCAGUGGAUACGCCCAUACAAAUAUUGAAGAGCACAAACUUCAGUGGCUGGUCAGCAAUGAUGGUGAAAAUAUUGAAGGAUUGCCCAGUGAAGGUGUUGAGAUAACUUGCUUCAAUUUGGUGAGAUAACUAGAUGGUGCACAUUACAUGAUCUACACACCAUCUGAUCCACUUCUCUUUGUUGCUGUCAAGGGUGAAAAUGGUGUUCUCCAAAUUGCUGACGAUGCAAAUGAUUCAUCUCUUUGAAAUGGGUUUUGAAUUCAGUAUUCAUUUAUUGAUUAUGGUUAUUCUGCAUGCCUUUGAUAUAUUAAUCACUGUUUCUUGAUUUAAUUUUUCUGGAUGUUGUGGCCCCUGGUUUAUUUCAGGUUAGUUUGUUUGCUUCCUACUUUCAGAUAUUGCCUGUUAGAUUGUAUUGAGUUCUUGGAUAUUUUAGCCUUUAUGUUUGUAGAUCAGAUGCUGAUUUUUUUUUUCCCCUCGUAGACCAAGUUUCUUCUCGGGAUCCCAGUUUGAGCUACAUGUAACCUUUUUCUCUUGCAUUUUGGAAAAAAGUUACUUUUUCUUCAAUAAGUUAUGUAGUUAGAAUCAUUAAUCAGUGUUCCGAUUAUGGAUUAUAUUGAAACCAUGUCUGUUGUUAUUUCAAUAAGGAAACAGUUGUUUUGUUUAUGCCCUAUUCUUUUCCAUGACCUGGAAAUCAGGAUCUGCUGGAGGACCCUGUUACCGUUGCUGCCAAAGAUGAGGAGACAGAAUUUAAUGCUCUUGUGGAAGAGGAGGCUGCACUUCUUGAAUCAUUGUUGGGAGAAAGAUGACAAACAGAGAUCUUUUAUGAGCUGAUCGAUUGGGAAAAUGAUGAGGAAGAUUCUGUGUUAUCAUUUAGAAAAGAAGUUUCAAAAGAUAAGUUGGCCUUUGUGCUACGAGGACUUGUUAAGAAAAUGUUUAACAGUGUGUUAUCUACAUUUAUGGAAAAUUAGCCAACACAGACUUACUUUCUUUCCAA